UACGUAGGGUGCAAGCGUUGUCCGGAAUUAUUGGGCGUAAAGAGCUCGUAGGCGGUCUGUCGCGUCGGAUGUGAAAAUCCAGGGCUCAACCCUGGACCUGCAUUCGAUACGGGCAGACUAGAGUUCGGUAGGGGAGACUGGAAUUCCCGGUGUAGCAGUGAAAUGCGUAGAGAUCGGGAGGAACAUCAGUUGCGAAGGCGGCUCUCUGGACCAGUACUGACGCUGAGGCACGAAAGCGUGGGGAGCAAACAGG
rnacentral:rRNA from 1 species